UAACUAUGUGCAUUUAAUAAUGAAACUACACUCCUUGUUAUUAAGUUGUAAACCAGAUGUCUUUUUAGAUUUGUGCAGACUUAGACAUCUUUAGACAUCUUUAAGAAAUACGAGAUGGAUUUUGGUUGAAGAAAUACGAGAUGGAUUUUGGUUGAAGAAAUACGAGAUGGAUUUUGGUUGAAGAAAUGCUUGCCAGAUUUUUUCUCAUUGUUGGUCAGUGCACAAGAUAUAUUCUCCCCGAGAUGUAUUCAAGAGAUCAAGUUUUGAAAUAAUUCAGAAAUGCUUACUCAAUUAAGUAGUGAUGGUUAUCAAUUUCUUGGCGUACAACAACAACAAAGAGAACAUGCUACUGAAUAGAUAACAACCAUUGCUUCAGAUAUGUAGAAGAAUUGUAUUAUUAGUUGAUCUCAAUGGUGAUAUAUGCAUGAGUAAGUGAACAUUUUAAUGUGUUUUUUUAUUUUUUAUGGUUGACAAUAGUAGUGUAAUCUCACAACAUAUUUUUUCUGAUAGGUGUGGAAUGAUUUAUGGCAUUGUUUCCUUGUUGGCAUGAUAUGUAAAAACAAUACUUGCCUAAAUUUUUUUUUUUUGAAACACAUACUCUUCUAAAUAUAUUACACUUUUAGCGUGGUUUCGAUAGAUUGUUGUUAGAAAAUGUUUUUUUUUUUUAAAGAUCUUAGGAAAUCUAUUUUUUUUUUUUUAAACUCUACCAAAUCUCCUAUCAAAAUCCUUAAACUCCAAAUAAAUUUAGCUAAAUUCCAUCAAAUCUAAAAUCCUUAAAAAAAUUCAUAUCCCUAAUCAAAUAAGCCCUUUAAUAUAUUUGACGUAUAUUUAGUACCAAAUGGUUAUGUAUUUAAAACAUCCAACAGUUAAUUCAACAAAAUAAACUUAAUUUACAUCAAUUUUUAUCCCUUUCGUUCUUUGCUAAAAUUUGAUAAUCUACUUACAAGUUUGUCAUUUUACUCAGAUAAUAGUCCCUUGUUAUUUACAAAACUAACUUUAUGAAAAUAUAACGACCAAUCACAAUUCUGAUACUGAUUUAGCUAAAGUAACUGAGAGCCCACGGAAUUCACCCCACCUAACCUCUCUUAAAAUAUCAAGAUAUUAAAGAAAAGAAAAUGUAUACGUGACUCUUCUUUACAAAGGCUAUAUAAACCCUAGACUGGCACAAGGUUCCAUCCAACACAAACACAUACAUCUACUUAUUAACCAUGAAGCUUCAUGGACUAGCCUUGAUAGGUUAUCUAAUUGCUGUGGUGAGUUGCAAAGCUAUUGAGGAAUGCCAAGAGAACGAGCCAUUCACAUGUAGAAACACUGAUCAGUUAAGCAGUAAAAAUUUCCCAAAAGACUUCAUAUUCGGUGUUGCUUCUGCUGCUUACCAGGCAUGUUACAAACCAACAAUUUUUGACGUAGAAAACCAUUUAAAAUAUUAAAUCCAACGUUGCAUGGUUGUUUCUUAUUAUUGUAGGUGGAAGGGGGCAGAGGACGUGGUCUUAACGUUUGGGAUGGCUUCACUCACCGAUACCCAGGUAUAUCAUCUACAUGGUACAUAUAUAUAUACAUAUGUCCACAACUCUUAUCAUUCUUAGUAAUGUAUUUGUUUACUAUCAGAGAAGGGAGGAUCCGAUCUUGGGAAUGGAGACACUACUUGUGAGUCAUACACGAGAUGGCAGGUUAGUUCCUCACUGAGUCAUAGACCAGAUGGCAGGUUAAUUCCUCAUUUCCUCACUGUGUAUAAUGAUAUCCGAGUGCGUAUGUAAACUGCAGAAAGAUAUAGACAUCAUAGACGAACUCAAUGCUACUGGCUACAGAUUCUCAUUUGCCUGGUCAAGAAUCAUUCCAAGUAUGAACACAUAAACAAUCUAUUUAUACAAAAGAAUUCUCGUAAUUUGAUUGUGAUUGUUGGGAAGAUUAAAUAUAUGAUAUGUAUACAUGAGCAGAAGGAAAGGUGAGUAGGGGAGUGAACAAAGGAGGUCUCGAAUACUACCACAAACUCAUAGAUGGCCUCAUCGCGAAGAAUAUAACCCCUUUUGUUACCCUCUUUCACUGGGACCUUCCUCAAACACUGCAAGACGAGUAUGAAGGUUUCUUGAACCGCACCGUCAUGUAUGUCAUUUGUGCCGCGUUCUUAGCAUGGAAAAUAAUAAGAAAAACAUAUAUAUAAUUGAUCUCAUGUUAAUGAUUUGAUUCUAUGCUUUUCACAGAGAUGACUUUAGAGAUUAUGCGGAUCUAUGUUUCAAGGAAUUUGGUGGAAAGGUGAAGAACUGGAUCACGAUCAACCAGCUGUACACAGUGCCUACGAGAGGCUAUGCAAUCGGAACAGAUGCACCCGGUCGAUGUUCUCCGGAGGUUGAUGAGAAAUGUUACGGCGGAAAUUCUUCAACAGAACCUUAUAUAGUUGCACAUAACCAGCUUCUUGCUCAUGCUGCGGCGGUCGAUGUUUACAGGACAAAAUAUAAGGUGAGAGAGUAUAUGGGUUUGUGAAUAUAUAGGUGUAGUCUUACGUAUAUAUAUGACUAUAUCUAAUCAUAUCAUUAUGGUAUGCCGUGACCAACAGUUCCAAAAAGGGAAGAUCGGACCAGUGAUGAUAACCAGAUGGUUUCUUCCAUUUGAUAAGACUGACCAAGCCAGCAGAGAUGCAGCUAAUAGGAUGAAAGAAUUCUUCUUGGGAUGGUAACGUAUAUGUAUGUAUAUAUCAACAAAAAAUGAAAUGAUUUUCUUAUACGUAUGUUCAUCGAUCAGGUUCAUGGAGCCGCUAACAAAGGGUAGAUACCCAGACAUCAUGAGGGAAAUUGUGGGUAGUCGGCUUCCCAAUUUCACGGAAGCAGAAGCGGAACUCGUUGCGGGUUCAUAUGAUUUUCUUGGUCUCAACUACUACACCACUCAGUACGCCCAGCCAAAACCUAACCCAGUUACAUGGGCAAAUCACACUGCCAUGAUGGACCCAGGCGCAAAGCUCACAUGUACCACUCUGUUUCCUCUUAUAGUUACAACCUUUCUAUAUAUAUAUGUUUCUAACUCUUUUUAAUUAAAGUAUAUACUUUGUGAGUGACCACCAAUUAUUUCAUCCUUGGGUUUACAGAUAACAAUUCCCGUGGUGAAAAUCUUGGUCCACUGGUAUGUGCAUGAUCCUCCCCUGUUACUUCUCAAUAUUUUUUUCUUUCUUGUUUAUGGGUAUAAUAUGUAUGCUUCCUUUUCUCAGUUCGUUAAAGACGAAAAAAACGGGAAUGCCUAUUACUACCCAAAAGGCAUUUAUUACGUUAUGGACUACUUCAAAAACAAAUACAAUAACCCUUUGAUCUAUAUCACUGAGAACGGUGACUACUACUCAUCUCUUUUUCCAUAUUAAGUAAAUGUGUGUUUCAAAUAAUGUACAGUUGAAAAAACAAAAAUGUACAGUUGUUGAUGUACCAUGAUGGUCUAAUUAGGAUUUAGUACUCCCGGUGAAGAAACCCGUGAGGAAGCUGUUGCUGAUUCCAAGCGGAUCGAUUAUCUCUGCAGUCAUCUAUGUUUUCUCCGCAAGGUCAUCAGGUGAGUGGAAGCUACUUUAUUUUUUUCUCUUUUGAAUUUGAUGUAUGGUCAUCAUCAUGCACAGGCUUUGAAUUAUGAUUUUUUCUGUUUCCAGGGAGAAGGGUGUCAACAUAAAAGGAUACUUUGCAUGGGCUCUUGGAGAUAAUUAUGAAUUCUGCAAAGGUUUUACCGUUAGAUUCGGACUUAGUUACGUUAACUGGACAGACCUCAAUGAUAGAAAUCUCAAAAAAUCUGGCAAAUGGUACCAAAGCUUUAUUAACGGUACCACUAAGAACCCUGCCAAACAAGAUUUCCGCCGCCCAAACCUCUCCCUCCGCAACCAGAAGAAGAACCUCGCAGAUGCAUGAAACACUUUAUCCCACCUUCAUGAUCAUCUUCAUAUCUCUACUACUUGCUUCAUAGAAAAGGGGCUUAUUGUACUAAAUAAAUAUUCCAAUAAAAGAUGAUCAUUUUUACUAAUGAAUAUUUUAGUUUGAGUUCAAUCCCUUCUUACCGCUUCAGUUACGUUUUACUUUGGAUGAUUAGUGAUGUAGAGUGAGCUACGAUGACACUAGAAUAUUCUUUAGUCAGAGAAUUCCUAUGAUGAAUGUCUUAUUUUAAUCGUUGAAAACACCAAGGAUUAAAGAACACCAAUGUAGUGAAGAUGGACGUUUAAGGGGAGAAGGAGGCUGAAGUGGAGGAUGAGAUUGAACUGAAAAUGAAGGUUGCAUGGGAGGUUCAAGAGGCAAAGGGUGAUACAAAAUGUUGUAGAUCAAAUGUUAGUAAACCCGCAUGAAGCAAAAUUACUGGCUCUCCCUCACGGUUUGCGAUCUUUGAAGAAGAUGAAGGAGAAGGAAAUAGUUUGGCAGUACAAAUAGACACAGAUAGUUAUUCAAAUUUCCACUUAACUUGAAAGAGAAGAAGGGGAGACUGAACAUGUGUCAGUCAGUCAAACGAUGGAGGAAGAAAUCCAAAAGGAGAAACACGAGGAGAAACAGCUUAUCUCAUAUUUUCAUCGAAAUGUAAAAACAAAAAAUUCAGAUUGUUUUGAUUCAAACACUGCAAAUGCAAAGGAUCUAGCUCCUAGCGUAGCAGGUAGAAGAAGAAUCACCCAGAAGAAAUAAUCAUGUCAGCUUUGUGUUGGGUUCCUCCUAGUGGGGAAACCCAAUGGUGUGAUUGUGGUGAAAAUGAGAAGUUAAUCUAGAGGAUCAAAGUGACCACUUGAGAAAUUCAUCUUGAGCAAACUUUGAUGCUCUAGGUAACACAAUCACAUAUUUUAAGUUUGGGCCAAUGAUAUUUAUCCAUGAGAUGGUAUUGGGCAUUGGUGGGUUAGUGAGACAGGACUAUAUAACCUAAUUUUGUGGUAAGCUAAGCAAAAAGAAAGCAAGAACUAAGAAAAGGAAGCACAAGAGAGAAAGGAGAUAAAGAGGAAAGUCGUCUUGGUUUGUCAAGGCAGGGUUUGGAGGGUCAAACGGAUCCUGAUCUGGCUGAUACUUUGUGGGAAGCUUCGUCAUUCAGUUGGUUAGAGGUUCACCAAAGGGAUUUGGAUUUCAACGGUUGGAUCUUCUGAGAUAUGGGUUUUAGUGAAGCUGGUUGUCAGUAUUUUUCAGCAGUUCUGUCUUGAGUGUUUGGUAAAUUUGACGGUGAGGUCUUCUCUGUUUUGAGCUGGGAUUUGGCAGAGGUACUACUGGGUUGUUGCUGCUGGUCUUGAAGCUUUGUGUUGCUCUCUUGUGGUUGUGUUCUUGUGUUGGAGAUAGCUUUUGUAGCUGAGUCUCUGUUCUGUUCAGGUUGUUGAACAGGGAGGACGUGGUUGUACUCACAUACAUUUAUAUAGUGGAUUGUUGAGUGGACUACGGUCCCGUGGUUUUUUUCUUCUCACAUCGAGUAGGUUUUCUACGUAAAAAGUGUUUGUCUCAUUUAGUUAUUGCUUAUACUAUAUCCUGCUAUCUUCGAAGUAUUUUCCUCUCAGAUUCUCACAAGGUCAGGGGGAACACGAUAGUACAUUCCGCUGCACUGUGUGUUUUAACCCCAUCAAAGUGGUAUCAGAGCUUUUGGUUUUAGAGCUUUGGGGUUGAUAACUUCGGGUUAUGGUUGCUUGUGAGAAUGAUGGAAAAUACGAGCAGGGUGAUAAGCUUGAAUGGUGCUAAAUAUCAUCUAUGGAAGGGUAAGAUGGAGGAUUUUCUCUUUGUUAAAGAAUUCCAUUUUCAAGUCUUCGAGGAGAAGAAAUCUGAGAAGAAGACGGAUAAAGAGUGGAAGCUUCUGCAUCGCCAAGUGUGUGGGUUGAUAAGGCAGUGGGUAGAUGAUAAUGUGUUGCAUCAUAUUGAGACUGAGACGGAUGCUCGUUCUUUGUGGAAGAAGCUGGAGCAGUUGUAUGCAAGGAAGACCGGAAACAACAAGAUGUACAUGAUCAAGAAGUUGAUUGAGCUGAGGUAUCAGGAGGAAACUCCGAUGACGGGUCACUUGAAUCGUUUUAGGGAUUGCUCAACAAGCUGUCUGAUAUGGGCAUCAAGUUUGAUGAUGAGAUUCACGGUCUAUGGCUUCUCGGUACUUUACUGGAUUCUUGAGAGGUUUUUAGGAUGUCUCUUUGUAACUCCGUGUCGGAAGGUGUUAUUUCGAUGGAUUCAGUGAAGAACAGUGUUCUUAAUGAGGAAGCAAGAAGACAGUCGAACGCUAGCAGUUCGUGUUCAGAUGUCUUUGUUACUGAGUCAAGGGGGAGGAGUUCGAGUAGAGAUCCCAGAGAGACAAGAACAGGAGCAGGAGAAAAUCUAAUAAAUUUGCUAACAUGGAGUGCUAUUUCUGUCACAAGAAAGGGCACAUGAAGAAGGAUUGUUGGAAGUUGAAAAACAAGCAGCAAGGAAAUCAAGAAGAAAAAGUGGAUCGGGUGACUGUCACCGAAGAUCAGUUUUUCAUUCUUCUUGAGGGUGAUGCCAUUAAUGUUGCAUGCCAAAACACCAGUUGGGUGAUUGAUAGUGGAGCUACUACUCAUGCAACAUCACAGCGGGAUUUGUUUUCUACCUAUACUACGGGUAAUUAUGGUUCCGUGAAGAUGGGAAAUGAUGCAAUGGCUCAGGUUGCUGGCAUUGGCGAUAUAUGCUUGGAGACUAGUCUUGGGACUAGGUUGAUGCUUAAGGAUGUUAAGCAUGUCCCUGAUAUUAGGAUGAAUCUGAUAUCAACGGGAAGGCUUGAUGAUGAGGGUUAUUUCAGUUUGCACGGUGGUGGUAAAUGGAAGCUCUCUCGCGGUGCUUUGAUUGUGGCUCGAGGUGAGAAAUCCUCAUCCUUCUAUUAGAUGCAGGCUAAGGUCUCCAAAGACGCUGUUAAUGCGGUGGAGAAUGAUGGUGCCAUGGAGUUAUGGCAUAAGAGACUCGGUCACAUGAGUGAGAAGGGAAUGUCUGUGUUGUCUAAGAAUGAGGUGAUUCCAGGAAUCUGUGGUUUGCACCUGCAGAAGUGAUCGCAUUGCUUUGCGGGAAAACAACACAAGGUGUCUUUCAAGUCUUAUGCGCCUUCUAGGAAACCCGAGGUACUCGAUUUGGUACAUUCAGAUGUGUGUGGUCCAAUGAAGACAAGAUCCAUUUGCAGCGCAUCAUAUUUUGUGACUUUCAUUGAUGAUCAUUCAAGGAAGUUGUGGUUAUUUCCUAUGAGGACGAAGGAUCAGGUGCUGGGAUAUUUCAACCAUUUUGUGGCGUUGGUAGAGAGACAAACGGGAAAGAAGCUGAAGUGUAUCCGCAGUGAUAAUUGUGGAGAGUAUUCUGGACCAUUUGAUGCUUAUUGUAAAGAGCAUGGAAUAAGACAUCAGUUCACGCCACCAUGAUGAUCUAAUUAGGAUUUAGUACUCCCGGUGAAGAAACCCGUGAGAAAGCUGUUGCUGAUUCCAAGCGGAUCGAUUAUCUCUGCAGUCAUCUAUGUUUUCUCCGCAAGGUCAUCAGGUGAGUGGAAGCUACUUUAUUUUUUUCUCUUUUGAAUUUGAUGUAUGGUCAUCAUCAUGCACAUGCUUUGAAUUAUGUUUUUUUUUUCUGUUUCCAGGGAGAAGGGUGUCAACAUAAAAGGAUACUUUGCAUGGGCUCUUGGAGAUAAUUAUGAAUUCUGCAAAGGUUUUACCGUUAGAUUCGGACUUAGUUACGUUAACUGGACAGACCUCAAUGAUAGAAAUCUCAAAAAAUCUGGCAAAUGGUACCAAAGCUUUAUUAACGGUACCACUAAGAACCCUGCCAAACAAGAUUUCUGCCCCCCAAACCUCUCCUUCCAGAACCAGAAGAAGAAGCUCUCAGAUGCAUGAAACACUUUAUCCCACCAUCAUGAUCAUCUUCAUAUCUCUACUACUUGCUUCAUAGAUAAGGGGCUUGUUGUACUAAAUAAAUAUUCCAAUAAAAGAUGAUCAUUUUUACUAAUGAAUAUUUUAGUUU
rnacentral:lncRNA from 1 species